UACAGAGGUCUCAAGCGUUGUUCGGAUUCAUUGGGCGUAAAGGGUGCGUAGGCGGCGCGGUAAGUCGGGUGUGAAAUCUCGGAGCUUAACUCCGAAACUGCAUUCGAUACUGCCGUGCUUGAGGACUGGAGAGGAGACUGGAAUUUACGGUGUAGCGGUGAAAUGCGUUAGAUAUCGUGAGGAAGACCAGUGGCGAAGGCGGGUCUCUGGACAGUUCCUGACGUGAGGCACGAAGGUCAGGGGAGCAAACGGG
rnacentral:rRNA from 1 species